UCUUAAGGAGCUCCAGGAUCUUCAUUCACCGCCAGUCCGUUGCCCCUGAUGGAAACCUCAGCCACGAGUGGUCACCCACAGCAGCCGUAAUCCGGACUCCUCUACUGGUCUGUUCCCUCCAUCCUCACCACGAGCCUCUGCCGAACCAGCUGCCUCACGAAACGGACCCACGCUGCCGACUCCAGACCCGAACGAGCAGUUCCACCAGUGACGCCACGAGCCGCAGUUACAUUCUCGGACCUCCAGUAACAGUUACCUACCUGUCUGGCCAUCAUAUUAAAUCUACCUUCUCGCCAAGA